AUUGAACGCUGGCGGCAGGCCUAACACAUGCAAGUCGAACGGUAACAGGAAGAAGCUUGCUUCUUUGCCGACGAGUGGCGGACGGGUGAGUAAUGUCUGGGAAACUGCCUGAUGGAGGGGGAUAACUACUGGAAACGGUAGCUAAUACCGCAUAACGUCGCAAGACCAAAGAGGGGGACCUUCGGGCCUCUUGCCAUCGGAUGUGCCCAGAUGGGAUUAGCUAGUAGGUGGGGUAACGGCUCACCUAGGCGACGAUCCCUAGCUGGUCUGAGAGGAUGACCAGCCACACUGGAACUGAGACACGGUCCAGACUCCUACGGGAGGCAGCAGUGGGGAAUAUUGCACAAUGGGCGCAAGCCUGAUGCAGCCAUGCCGCGUGUAUGAAGAAGGCCUUCGGGUUGUAAAGUACUUUCAGCGGGGAGGAAGGGAGUAAAGUUAAUACCUUUGCUCAUUGACGUUACCCGCAGAAGAAGCACCGGCUAACUCCGUG
rnacentral:rRNA from 1 species